rnacentral:rRNA from 1 species
GGCCGCGGGAAUUCGAUUUCCGGUUGAUCCUGGCGGAGGUCACUGCUAUCAGUAUUCGACUAAGCCAUGCGAGUCAAAUGUUUUUCGUAAACAUGGCGUACUGCUCAGUAACACGUGGAUAAUCUGCCCUAAGGUCAGGUAUAGCUCCGGGAAACUGGUGAUAAUCCCUGAUAUAUCAUAGAAACUGGAAUGUUCUGUGAUUAAAAGCUCCGGCGCCUUAGGAUGAAUCUGCGGUCUAUCAGGUUGUAGUGGGUGUAGAGUACCUACUAGCCUACGACGGAUACGGGUUGUGAGAGCAAGAGCCCGGAGAUGGAUUCUGAGACAUGAAUCCAGGCCCUACGGGGCGCAGCAGGCGCGAAAACUUUACAAUGCGGGAAACCGCGAUAAGGGGAUACUGAGUGCCAGCAUAUUAUGUUGGCUGUCCACCUGUAUAAACAGCAGGUGUUAGCAAGGGCCGGGCAAGACCGGCGCCAGCCGCCGCGGUAACACCGGCGGCCCGAGUGGUGGCCACUAUUAUUGGGUCUAAAGGGUCCGUAGCCGGUUUGAUCAGUCUUCCGGGAAAUCUGACAGCUCAACUGUCAGGCUUCUGGGGGAUACUGUCAGACUUGGGACCGGGAGAGGUAAGAGGUACUACAGGGGUAGGAGUGAGAUCUUGUAAUCCUUGUGGGACCACCAGUGGCGAAGGCGUCUUACCAGAACGGGUCCGACGGUGAGGGACGAAAGCUGGGGGCACGAACCGGAUUAGAUACCCGGGUAGUCCCAGCCGUAAACGAUGCUCGCUAGGUGUCUGGGACGGUGCGACCGUUUCAGGUGCCGCAGGGAAGCCGUGAAGCGAGCCACCUGGGAAGUACGGCCGCAAGGCUGAAACUUAAAGGAAUUGGCGGGGGAGCACUACAACGGGUGGAGCCUGCGGUUUAAUUGGACUCAACGUCGGAAAACUCACCUGGGGCGACAGCAAUAUGUAGGUCAGGCUGAAGGUCCUACCUGAAUCGCUGAGAGGAGGUGCAUGGCCGUCGUCAGUUCGUACUGUGAAGCAUCCUGUUAAGUCAGGCAACGAGCGAGACCCAAUCACUAGUGAAUUC